rnacentral:lncRNA from 1 species
GACCCCUGAUCUUGUGGCGUGCCACCGCGCGAGGCCGAGGAGCUCCCGCAGACCAGUGGGCGUGGCGUCCUUGUCGCGGCUCUGUGGAGACCUGGCGAUGGAGAGCAGCAUGGCGGACCCCUGAUCUUGUGGCGUGCCACCGCGCGAGGCCGAGGAGCUCCCGCAGACCAGUGGGCGUGGCGUCCUUGUCGCGGCUAUGUGGAGACCUGGCGAUGGUGAGCGGCCCCUGUCCUCAGUGGUGGAGAACUCGCCCUUGGGCGCUCGUCGGUCCGGAGCCCCGGGCCACCCCGCUUCUCGCGGGCUUUGGCCCCGGCAGGCCAGCUCCGGGGCGUGAGGGGGAGCGUCCCGUCCUGCCCAGUGGCUCGUCUGUCUGGGCACGCCCCCAAACGCUGCCGUGAUGGAGCGGGUGGAUUCCAGGUGCGGAGGCCGUGAAUUUGCCUUUCGGCGGCGGAGCCCGUGCUCGGAUCGAUGAUGACUCCCUCUAAAGCAUUCCUUGGAAAUCUGAACAAAAUGAGUGAGAACUCACUACCGUCUCCUCAUCGAAACUGAGGUCCGGCACGUGGCGGCCACCGGGGGCUCGGGGGCCCUUGGCCUUGGGGCCUCUGUGUGUCAGCAGCCACUCGGGUGAGGUCUGGGGAAGGCGGC